CCUACGGGUGGGCAGCAGUAGGGAAUCUUCCACAAUGGGCGAAAGCCUGAUGGAGCAACGCCGCGUGGGUGAAGAAGGUCUUCGGAUCGUAAAACCCUGUUGUUAGAGAAGAAAGUGCGUUAGAGUAACUGUUCACGUUUCGACGUUAUCUAACCAGCAAGCCACGUCUAACUACGUGCCAGCAGCCACGGUAAUACGUAGGUGGCAAGCGUUAUCUGGAUUUAUUGGGCGUAAAGGGAACGCAGGCGGUCUGUUAAGUCUGUUGUGAAAGCCUUCGGCUUAACCGGAGUAGUGCAUUGGAAACUGGGAGACUUGAGGGCAGAAGAGGAGAGUGGAACGCGAUGUGUAGCGGUGAAAUGCGUAGAUAUAUGGAAGAACACCAGUGGCGAAGGCGGCUCUCUGGUCUGUAACUGACGCUGAGGUUCGAAAGCGUGGGUAGCAAACAGGAUUAGAUACCCCGGUAGUC
rnacentral:rRNA from 1 species